ACCUACGGAUUUUUGACCAAGAAAUGGUCUCCACCAGAAAUCCAAGAAUGUGAUCUAUGGCAAGGAAACAUAUGUGGGGUGAGGUGUAUGAGCCUCUGGUCGAUGAUCAAUGGCCACACAACCUCCAUUUUUGUCGAAAAUAGCCAUGAACGACCAUUUUCAAUAAUAUCGAAGGCUAACACCUACUGAUUUUUGACCAAGAAAUGGUCUCCACCAGAAAUCCAAGAAUGUGAUCUACGACAAGGAAACAUAUGUGGGGUGAGGUGUAUGAGCCUCUGGUCGACGAUCAAUGGCCACACAACCCCCAUUUUGCCGAAAAUAGCCAUGAAUGACCAUUUUCAAUAAUAUCGAAGGCUAACACCUACGGAUUUUUGACCAAGAAAUGGUCUCCACCAGAAAUCCAAGAAUGUGAUCUACGACAAGGAAACAUAUGUGGGGUGAGGUGUAUGAGCCUCUGGUCGACGAUCAAUGGCCACACAACCCCCAUUUUGCCGAAAAUAGCCAUGAAUGACCAUUUUCAAUAAUACCGAAGGCUAACACGUACGAGUUUUUAACCAAGAAAUGGUUUCCACCAGAAAUCCAAGAAUGUAAUCUAUGGCAAUGAAACAUAUGUGGGGUGAGGUUUAUGAGCCUCUAGUCGAUGAUAAAUGGCCACACAACCCCCAUUUUUUAUGAAAAUAGCCAUGAGCGACCUUGAAAAUAGCCAUGAGCGACCAUUUUCAAUAAUACUAGAGGCUAACACCUACGGAUUUUAGACCAAGAAAUGGUCUCCACCAGAAAUCCAAGAAUGUGAUCUAUGGCAAGGAAACAUAUGUGGGGUGAGGUGUAUGAGCGUCUGGUCGAUGAUCAAUGGCCACACAACCCCCAUUUUUGUCGAAAAUAGCCAUGAACGACCAUUUUCAAUAAUACCGAAGGCUAACACCUACGGAUUUUUACCAAGAAAUGGUCUCCACCAGAAAUCCAAGAAUGUGAUCUAUGGCAAGGAAACAUAUGUGGGGUGAGGUGUAUGAGCCUCUAGUCGAUGAUCAAUGGCCACACAACCCCCAUUUUUGUCGAAAAUAGCCAUGAAUGACCAUUUUCAAAAAUACCAAAGGCUAACACGUACGGAUUUUUAACCAAGAAAUGGUCUCCACCAGAAAUCCAAGAAUGUGAUCUAUGGCAAGGAAACAUAUGUGGGGUGAGGUGUAUGAGCCUCUGGUCGAUGAUCAAUGGCCACACAACCCCCAUUUUUGUCGAAAAUAGCCAUGAACGACCAUUUUCAAUAAUAUCGAAGGCUAACACCUACGGAUUUUUGACCAAGAAAUGGUCUCCACCAGAAAUCCAAGAAUGUGAUCUACGACAAGGAAACAUAUGUGGGGUGAGGUGUAUGAGCCUCUGGUCGACGAUCAAUGGCCACACAACCCCCAUUUUGCCGAAAAUAGCCAUGAAUGACCAUUUUCAAUAAUAUCGAAGGCUAACACCUACGGAUUUUUGACCAAGAAAUGGUCUCCACCAGAAAUCCAAGAAUGUGAUCUACGACAAGGAAACAUAUGUGGGGUGAGGUGUAUGAGCCUCUGGUCGACGAUCAAUGGCCACACAACCCCCAUUUUGCCGAAAAUAGCCAUGAAUGACCAUUUUCAAUAAUACCGAAGGCUAACACGUACGAGUUUUUAACCAAGAAAUGGUUUCCACCAGAAAUCCAAGAAUGUAAUCUAUGGCAAGAAACAUAUGUGGGGUGAGGUUUAUGAGCCUCUAGUCGAUGAUAAAUGGCCACACAACCCCAUUUUUUAUGAAAAUAGCCAUGAGCGACCUUGAAAAUAGCCAUGAGCGACCAUUUUCAAUAAUACUAGAGGCUAACACCUACGGAUUUUAGACCAAGAAAUGGUCUCCACC
rnacentral:lncRNA from 1 species